rnacentral:rRNA from 1 species
AGCGAACGCUGGCGGCAGGCUUAACACAUGCAAGUCGAACGGGCAUAGCAAUAUGUCAGUGGCAGACGGGUGAGUAACGCGUGGGAACGUACCUUUUGGUUCGGAACAACACAGGGAAACUUGUGCUAAUACCGGAUAAGACCUUACGGGGAAAGACUUCUGGCCGAAAGAGCGGCCCGCGUCUGAUUAGCUAGUUGGUAGGGUAAUGGCCUACCAAGGCGACGAUCAGUAGCUGGUCUGAGAGGAUGAUCAGCCACAUUGGGACUGAGACACGGCCCAAACUCCUACGGGAGGCAGCAGUGGGGAAUAUUGGACAAUGGGCGAAAGCCUGAUCCAGCCAUGCCGCGUGAGUGAUGAAGUCCCUAGGGUUGUAAAGCUCUUUUGUGCGGGAAGAUAAUGACGGUACCGCAAGAAUAAGCCCCGGCUAACUUCGUG